rnacentral:rRNA from 1 species
AUGAAUCCAACCCUCUUAUCUCAGUUUCGCCCCAUUAGCUUAUGUAACGUCGUUUACAAGAUUGCGUCCAAGGUUGUUGCGAAUAGGUUGAAAGUGAUCUUGCCAGAGCAAUCUGCCUUUGUCCCGGGUCAUCUAAUCACAUAUAAUAUCAUAUGUGCAUAUGAGUGCUUCCAAUUCAUGAAGAGAAGUAAGGCCAAAACAAAUAGUCAUUGUGCGCUUAAGCUAGACAUGAUGACAACAUAUGAUAGUCUAGAAUGGACUUACCUUCGGGCGAUUAUGAUCAAGCUUAGUUUUAUACAACAGUGGGUUGACAUUACAAUGGGAAUGAUCAGUUCAGUUUCUUUCUCAGUCUCUUUUAACGGGGAGAAGCUGGAACCUUUUACACCUUCACGUGGUAUUCGACAGGGAGAUCUGAUAUCCCCUUAUCUUUUCUUGAUUGUAGGAGAGGGCCUUUCGUGCCUCCUAAAACACAGUUCUCAAUCGUCUUUGCUCAGCGGGAUUAAGGUGGCUCCGACAACUCUGGCUGUGAACCAUCCCCUAUUUGCGAACAACAGCCUGUUGCUUUUCAAGGCUAGUAAUGAGGGGGAUGCAGCGGUGCCAAACCUAUUGAAUACCUAUUGUGAUGCAUCAGGUCAGAGAGUCAACCACAGUAAGUCCUCAAUUUUUUCAGUAAGGGGUGCCCACAACCGUUGA